rnacentral:sRNA from 1 species
GGAAGGAUCAUUAUCGUACAAAAUGUGAGACGCAUGCGAGGGCUGUCUGCUGACCCAGAGUCGUGCACGCCCAAGUGUGUUCUCUCACAUAAUCAAUCCAUCUCACCCUUUUGUGCAUCACCGCGUGAGCACCCUUCGGGAUCGCCUCGGAGGGGGCUCGCGUUUUCACACAAACCCCCCUUUCAAAAGUGUAGAAUGACCUCGUUUAUGCGCUAACCCGCAAUCAAUACAACUUUCAACAACGGAUCUCUUGGCUCUCGCAUCGAUGAAGAACGCAGCGAAAUGCGAUACGUAAUGUGAAUUGCAGAAUUCAGUGAAUCAUCGAAUCUUUGAACGCACCUUGCGCCCCUUGGUAUUCCGAGGGGCACACCCGUUUGAGUGUCGUGAAAACCUCAACCUCCUUGGUUUCUUCUGGAGACCAAAGCAGGCUUGGACUUUGGAGGCCUUUGCUGGCACCUUUCUUUUGAAGGCCCAGCUCCUCUCAAAUGAAUUAGCAGGGUCCUCUUUGCUGAUCCUCGACGUGUGAUAAGAUGUUUUUCCAUGUCUUGGUUUCUGGCUCUGUCACCUUUGGGACCCGCUUCUAACCGUCUUGACCUCGCAUCGAGACAACGUUCGAGCAUGUCUCCCUUUCUUGGGAAGCUCCCUCGACCCCACGAACCCCUUGACCUCAAAUCGGGUGAGACUACCCGCUGAACUUAAGCAUAUCAAUAGGCGGGAGGAACCUGGAAUGGAGCAUCAUAGAGGGUGAGAAUCCCGUCUUUGACAUGGACUGCCAGGGCUUUGUGAUGCGCUCUCAAAGAGUCGAGUUGUUUGGGAAUGCAGCUCAAAAUGGGUGGUAAAUUCCAUCUAAAGCUAAAUAUUGGCGAGAGACCGAUAGCGAACAAGUACCGUGAGG